UACGUAGGGUGCGAGCGUUAAUCGGAAUUACUGGGCGUAAAGCGUGCGCAGGCGGCUUUGCAAGACAGAUGUGAAAUCCCCGGGCUCAAACUGGGAACUGCAUUUGUGACUGCAAGGCUAGAGUACGGCAGAGGGGGAUGGAAUUCCGCGUGUAGCAGUGAAAUGCGUAGAUAUGCGGAGGAACACCAAUGGCGAAGGCAAUCCCCUGGGCCUGUACUGACGCUCAUGCACGAAAGCGUGGGGAGCAAACAGG
rnacentral:rRNA from 1 species